AUUGAACGCUUGCGGCAGGCUUAACACAUGCAAGUCGAACGAGUGGCGGACGGGUGAGUAAUGUCUGGGAAACUGCGUGAUGGAGGGGGAUAACUACUGGAAACGGUAGCUAAUACCGCAUACCAUCAGAUGUGCCCAGAUGGGAUUAGCUAGUAGGUGGGGUAAUGGCUCACCUAGCCGACGAUCUCUAGCUGGUCUGAGAGGAUGACCAGCCACACUGGGACUGAGACACGGCCCAGACUCCUACGGGAGGCAGCAGUGGGGAAUAUUGCGCAAUGGGGGCAACCCUGACGCAGCCAUGCCGCGUGAAUGAAGAAGGCCUUCGGGUUGUAAAGUUCUUUCGGUAGCGAGGCGUUAACUACAGAAGAAGCACCGGCUAACUCCGUGCCAGCAGCCGCGGUAAUUC
rnacentral:rRNA from 1 species